UUCUGGGAAGGGACGGGGUGGUGAAGGAAGGGGUGGGGCCUAGGCGCAGGGGAGGGACGUCGCGGGCGGAGCCUAAUAGAGGGGCGGGGCUCAGGCAAGGAGGCGGUGUCUGGGAGGGCCGUGGCAGGAGCGGAAUGGAGGCGGGGCAGAGCGGGAAUGGGUGGGGCCUAAAGCAAGGUGAGGUUGAGCUACUGUCUGGGGCAGAGGGAGGUGCACGCGGCAGGCGGGGCGGGCUCCAGCGAGGGGUGUGGCCUGGUCAGGGGCGGGGCCUAGGCUGGGGCGGGCUUUCCGGGUUUUAAACUUGGCUUCCUCCAUCCCGCCCUCUCCUGCUCCUGGGCUCCUGCGCAGCUUGUGCUGUCCCGGAGGAGGUGAGGCGUCUGUCCUUCAGGGAUCCCCCCAGACCUGGCAUGGAGAGCUUGGAGGAGUGCGGAGAGGACGCCGCGCUGGAGCCCUGCAGGACCCCCCAGGCCUCCGUGACAUUCAAGGAUGUGGCCGUGGACUUCACCUGGGAGGAGUGGAGGCUCCUGGACCCUCCCCAGAAGGAGCUGUUCUGGGAGGUGAUGCUGGAGAACUACAGGAACCUGGUCUGCCUGGGUGAGGAGGGCUCCUCUGGGCCUUGGGAUCUGCCCAUGGAAGGGGAUCUGCUUCCUUCUCCUGGGCCCUAUCCAGUGUGCAGCUGGGAUUCUCUGGCUUGUAAUGGCCUGAGCACUUUUUAUGCUAACCAGGCCAAAAGCCAGGCUGAAAGGCUCUCGUUUUGUUUGUCUAGCGAUGAAGGGCUUUACUGCAUGGUCCCAGCCCAGCUCUGCUCCCUCAGGCCACAGGGGCCUUCUCAAGACUCAGGGGAAGUACUUGACGUCAGCCAAGCUCCCAAUACCUCAGUAUUGAAUGGAUCAAAUGAACCCUUGUCUUUCAGAACCCCCCUCCAUUCCUUGUUCCAGUCCUGUGUCUUCCCAGGAAAACAAACCAGAGCAGCCUUGAGAUGUUUUCUCUAAGCACCUCCAUGGCACCCAGGCUCCUUUACUAGCUUGUUCCUAAGGGCAUGAGAGAUCAUCCUCCCUCUUCAUCUCUUUGCCCUUUCCCAUGACUAGGCCUUGCUGAUUCAAACAAGGAUGUGAGGAUCUCUGAGCUGGAGUCAGGGGAACCACAUUGGAUUCCAACUGGUGGUGUCCUAAGAAGCUGCUGGCCAGGUGAGUGAGGGAGUGGAUGAGUGUCUGACCCUGGUGAGGACACAACAACCCAUACACAGCUCUGCUGGUCAUUCAUCUCUCAGCCCACCGAGAAUGGGCUCCUGGGUCAUCCCCUCAGUGACCUUCUGGGCCAGGAACUCCUCUCUCUGCCACAGAUCCCACAUAGAAUUCCUUCCUGCUUUCUCCACUUUGAAUGAUUUUGUCUCAAAAGGUAUGGAUAGAAAUAACC
rnacentral:lncRNA from 1 species